UACGUAGGGGGCAAGCGUUGUCCGGAUUUAUUGGGCGUAAAGAGCGUGUAGGCGGCCAGAUAGGUCUGUUGUGAAAACUCGAGGCUCAACCUCGAGACGCCGAUGGAAACCAUUUGGCUAGAGUCCGGAAGAGGAGAGUGGAAUUCCUGGUGUAGCGGUGAAAUGCGCAGAUAUCGGGAGGAACACCAGUAGCGAAGGCGGCACUCUGGGCCGGUACUGACGCUGAGGAGCGAAAGCGUGGGGAGCAAACAGG
rnacentral:rRNA from 1 species